GCUGGGCGCGAUGGCUCACGCCUGUAAUCCCAGUACUCUGGGAGGCCGAGGUGGGAGGAUCACCUGAGGUCAGGAGUUUGAGACCAGCCUGGCCAACAUGGUGAAACCCACCUCUC
rnacentral:SRP_RNA from 2 species